UUUUAUUCGAUUGUUCAAGAGAGUGCAAUGAAAGCACACAUUAAUUUCUUGUCAACAAAAAUCACAUACACGAGUUAUCUCCCUUCAGGCGAGUGAGCGUGAAACCCCGAUUUGGGCACAAAACAGCGAGGCUUCUUAAAUUCAACUAAAUUGUUAUUUUGUAUUUCCAAAGUCAACAAAUUGGAGUUAUUGGAUGUUAUUUUGGAGUUAUUGGGUGUUAUUGGACAGUUAUUGGGUGUUAUUAGGUGUUAUUGGGUAAUUCGACGUGCCGCAAUACUAUUUAUUAGGCCUACUAUUAAUAACAAAACAAAUGUCUGCCUGACAACGGUGGCCUAGAGACUCCUACUAGUACUAGACUGGGUCUACAAUCAAGGAACAGUUAACUCAACGUACAAACGAUUCAACACCUGUCUAAAGAAAUGGGUGAUUAUAUUGAAGUCCACACAGGAGAAAGAAAUACUUUUAGACUCAGUGGUAGACCUUGCGAGAUUUCAUCCUAUGCUUUUGUUCCAAAAAUCAGAAGUGAUCCCCCAGAAAGAACCUAUUUCAAUACUCCUCAGACUCCGGGUCAGAACAUUGACGAAAGGAUGAAAAGACCAGGAUCCACAUAUGACAGACUGUUUAAAUACCCAGAGGGUUAUAAUAACAAAUUACAUCGUGAUGACAGAGAACAUGCUAAGUCGCAAGGAUUACAUGUAAAUGAUGAAAAUCUAACCGUGGGAUCUUUCUGAAACUUUGACCUACCCCCCCAAGAAUGGGUGGUGGCUUUGGAAUAGGAAAAAGACAAGGCUGUGCCAAGUUUAGCAUCAACAGAAUAUGGACAUCGUUUAAAUCAUCAUUUAGAGAAGAGAGACAGAAAACAUGUUAGAAUAGGCCAUGUUCAAUCAGAAUUUUAUAGAAGAAACAUGAUACCAUAAGUUGUAUUAGUAUUAAUAAAUGGUAUUUCUUAUAAGACCCGACCAA